UCCCCUGUAGCUCAAUCGGUAGAGCGAGCGGCUGUUAACCGCUAGGUUGUAGGUUCGAGUCCUACCGGGGGAGCCU
rnacentral:tRNA from 1 species